rnacentral:tRNA from 1 species
UCCCUGGUGGCUCAGACAAUAAAGAAUCUGCCUGUAACGCAGGAGACUUGGGUUCAAUCCCUGAAUAGGGAA